AAAGGGGAAAGAAAACCAAUUCUUUUCCUUUUAGUGGCUAACUUUAUUUCUUCAUCUUUACUACUACUCUGUUUUUAUACCAUGUUUUUAAGUUUGAAAAUGGAACAUUCAUCGGACCGUAGUCAACAUGCACCUUCACCUCCCCCUCCUCCUAGAUUGGAAGUCCAUGAAGAUGAAGAAAGUAAUGGUGGCUAAAGAACUGGUCAAACCUUGCUUCACCAGGAGCGGCAACAGCAACAACAUUCUUCUUGGGCGUCUUAUCAUCUCAAUAUAUCAAUAUAUGAUGUGCUAAGUUUUGAUAGGAUUAUGAAUGAUGAUGUUUGGUCUUGCGGCGUUGUUCUUAUCACAUUUUGUGUUUUGGCAUCCAUGAUAAUGAUUCUGGGUUCUUAUGGAUCUGUGACUUUACAAAUGGGUCCAAAUUUCUCACGCCUUUUACAAGCUAACUCUUUAUUUGUUCAGUCUAUUCAGUUUGAAGAUUUGGAUGAGCAAAACCUGGGUUAAUGGUGUAUGGAUUUCACAGACCACCUCCUUUAGAUGUUGUAAUCUCCUGGUCUGAAACACAUGACAUCAUUAUACCUGCAAAAUUCCACAAGG